AAUGACUGCCUGCACAAGAUAAUACAAGUAACAAUAAAGUGAACAGUUCAUUGUGUGCAAAAUCCAAAUCUGCCCUUUUCACUCACAGUACAAAUAACAGCCAGGUGCAAGUGAAUCGCAGAAUAAUUCGCUUUGUGAAAAAGGCUCCUCAGUAUCAUCUCCACAGAAGGCAUAAUGUGAAGUACUGGUAUGAAGAACCAAGGGUUGGCAUGGGGAAAAAGCCGCAGACAAUGGGGACAUAUGGAUCUUUCCUGGGAUUGUGUGACUCCUUACGGAAAUGAAACCGUUUCUCAAUAAGAAAAUACGGCAGCAAGAAAGACCAGAAUCAUGGCAAGUUUAUGUGGGACGAUUAUUAAUAGCGACACACAAUUCUUACUCCAUGUAUAGUUUCAACCAUGCUGGAAAAUUAUUAAUGUG